UGAACGCUGACAGAAUGCUUAACACAUGCAAGUCAACUUGAACUUCGGUUUGGGUGGCGGACGGGUGAGUAACGCGUAAAGAACUUGCCUCACAGCUAGGGACAACAUUUGGAAACGAAUGCUAAUACCUGAUAUUAUGAUUUUAGGGCAUCCUAGAAUUAUGAAAGCUAUAUGCGCUGUGAGAGAGCUUUGCGUCCCAUUAGCUGGUUGGAGAGGUAACGGCUCACCAAGGCGAUGAUGGGUAGCCGGCCUGAGAGGGUGAACGGCCACAAGGGGACUGAGACACGGCCCUUACUCCUACGGGAGGCAGCAGUGGGGAAUAUUGGACAAUGGACCAAGAGUCUGAUCCAGCAAUUCUGUGUGCACGAUGAAGUUUUUCGGAAUGUAAAGUGCUUUCAGUUGGGAAGAAAAAAAUGACGGUACCAACAGAAGAAGUGACGGCUAAAUACGUG
rnacentral:rRNA from 1 species